ensembl:lncRNA
CUGGUCUUUAAGUAAAGGUCAAGCAGGACGCAGCCGGAGCCAGUGGCUCAGGAAGGUCCCCAGGCACACAUCGUGGAGCCAGGGAACAGGGCUGCGAGCAAGGUGAAGUGAGACCGUCCAGGCGGAGCACUCUCUCUGGAUGCAGACGUCACAGGAGCGCUUGUGCACAUGGGUUGAGUGUGAAGCACACACAGGUCCCUGACCCACACAUUUUGCAACAAGCUAGUGAGGUAGAUAGAUUCUGCUAUGUCCUCAGUUUCCAGGUGAGGAGACAAAGAGACAUAAAAGCUGGAGGUCAUGCAGCAGGCGAAGCUAGGGCCAGAGCCCAGGAGGUGUGUCUCUG